UACAGAGGGUGCGAGCGUUAAUCGGAAUUACUGGGCGUAAAGCGCACGUAGUCGGCUUUGCAAGUCGGUUGUGAAAUCCCCGGGCUCAACCUGGGAACUGCAUCCGAGACUGCAUUGCUAGAGUAUGGGAGAGGGAAGCGGAAUUUCUGGUGUAGCAGUGAAAUGCGUAGAUAUCAGAAGGAACAUCAGUGGCGAAGGCGGGUCUCUGGGCCGUAACUGACGCUGAGGAGCGAAAGCAUGGGGAGCGAACAGG
rnacentral:rRNA from 1 species